CUGACUAAGCCACGCAGGCGCCCCACUUUCCAAGACAUUUUCUUAAAGAACAUUUGUAAAGGGAGGCUUGUGGGCCCAAAAGAUUCUCAUCAAAUGGCUUCUUUAUCCUCACACAAAUAUGUCUUUCAGGCCUCCGAAUAGAAAGAAUGUGCUGAGAAAGGUUCUAACCAGUGUCCGUCGGACAAGACUCGAGGAGGCGAGAAUCGGGAACGACGGUGUGCCAGCGAACGACAGACUGGGGUAGAGGAGGCAGCACUGACUUGCGGUGUGGUCCAGUUUCCAUGAUGUGAAAAACUCGCACGAAGGCUGUGUCUGGGCUACCCAGCACGAGGUCACUGCGUGCAGAACUGGGGAGCAUGCAAGGAGCUGGCUCUCCCGAGCCGACUGCAGGACAGAUGGACAGUGACAUCAAAACAGCUAAUCAGCGAAUCUGGAGACUCAGGAUAGAGAAUUUUACUUUUAACGGCACGAGCCUUAACGCGAAGGAAAUAUCUGUCCUGUGUGUGGAACAUCAGCUUCCGAUUCAUGAAGAUCUUGGACAGCACAGCGGUCGAGAGAUGCUUCGUGUGUAGCGCGCUAAAUGAGGGACGCAGGGAUGAAGACGACAGGUCCUGAGUUCCCUUCUUAGCCUCCACUGGCGGUGGGAUUUUUUUUUUUUAAAGAUGAAAAAAACCCAAAUUUCUUUCAUUUCCACCCAUGAAUAGAUGGAUCAACAAAGAAUUUGAAAAAUUAGCUGGAGAAAAAAGUGCCAGCAGAAAGAUACAGCUUCAGUGGAAAAUAAGACGAAAAUGUAAGAGAUGGGAAAUAAUGAAGGCUCCAAGUUUUGGAUAACGUUUCUCUAUGGCAGCUGAAUUUUAAAGCAAACUCAAAGAAGAGUACUACACAACGGAACUCCAGAUGCUCCUUCUCUGAGCACACCCAGCUUGCUCGGCUGCAUUUAUGCCUGUCCGGCUGCAUUCACUUCAAGUCAUUUCAACCCUAAGAAACAGUGAUUUGGGCCUUGGGAGAGAAGGCGUGAGGAGCUCAGGGCCCAGAUCCUCACCCUGCAGCUCUGAUGUCUUUUCACGGUUAUGUAGGACAUCUCAUUAAAAGACCAAAAAUAAAAAAACAAAAUAAAAACAGAUCACACUGCUUUGGUCCGUCUAGAGGCCUUCCAGACCCCCUCUUUCCUUUCUACGCUUGGCACCGAAGCUCUGAUACCACCACGGGGGCGACGAUGGCAUUAUGGGGCCAAGGGACCGGGAAAGCGGUCUCAACUUACUUG